rnacentral:rRNA from 1 species
AACGAACGUUGGCGGCGCGCCUAACACAUGCAAGUCGCACGCGAAAGGGAGCAAUCCCCGGUAGAGUGGCGCACGGGUGAGUAACACGUGGGUAAUCUUCCCUCGAGCGGGGGAUAACCUCCCGAAAGGGGGGCUAAUACCGCAUAAGACCACGCCCGGUACGCCGGGCGGGGUAAAAGCUGGCCUCUACAUGUAAGCUAGCACUUGAGGAUGAGCCCGCGGCCCAUCAGCUAGUUGGUAGUGUAAAGGACUACCAAGGCGAAGACGGGUAGCUGGUCUGAGAGGAUGAUCAGCCACACUGGAACUGAGACACGGUCCAGACUCCUACGGGAGGCAGCAGUGGGGAGUCUUGCGCAAUGGGCGAAAGCCUGACGCAGCGACGCCGCGUGGGUGAUGAAGGCCUUCGGGUUGUAAAGCCCUGUGGGGAGGGACGAAUAACGCAGACCCAAUACGUCUGUGGAUGACGGUACCUCCUUAGCAAGCACCGGCUAACUCUGUGCCAGCCGCCGCUGUAA